AUACGGAGGGGGCUAGCGUUGUUCGGAUUUACUGGGCGUAAAGGGCGCGUAGGCGGCCCACAAAGUCAGACGUGAAAGCCCCGGGCUCAACCUGGGAACUGCGCUUGAAACGUGUGGGCUAGAGUCCGGGAGAGGAUGGCGGAAUUCCCAGUGUAGAGGUGAAAUUCGUAGAUAUUGGGAAGAACACCGGUGGCGAAGGCGGCCAUCUGGACCGGUACUGACGCUAAGGCGCGAAAGCGUGGGGAGCAAACAGGAGUAGAAACCCCGGUAGUCC
rnacentral:rRNA from 1 species